rnacentral:rRNA from 1 species
CAGUCGCCGCGGGAAUACAGAGGGUGCGAGCGUUAAUCGGAUUUACUGGGCGUAAAGCGUGCGUAGGCGGCUUUUUAAGUCGGAUGUGAAAUCCCUGAGCUUAACUUAGGAAUUGCAUUCGAUACUGGGAAGCUAGAGUAUGGGAGAGGAUGGUAGAAUUCCAGGUGUAGCGGUGAAAUGCGUAGAGAUCUGGAGGAAUACCGAUGGCGAAGGCAGCCAUCUGGCCUAAUACUGACGCUGAGGCACGAAAGCGUGGGGAGCAAACAGGAUUAGAUACCCGAGUAGUCCCUGUCUCUUAUAC